rnacentral:rRNA from 1 species
GAUGAACGCUGGCGGCGUGCCUAAUACAUGCAAGUCGAGCGAACAGACGAGGAGCUUGCUCCUCUGACGUUAGCGGCGGACGGGUGAGUAACACGUGGAUAACCUACCUAUAAGACUGGGAUAACUUCGGGAAACCGGAGCUAAUACCGGAUAAUAUAUUGAACCGCAUGGUUCAAUAGUGAAAGACGGUUUUGCUGUCACUUAUAGAUGGAUCCGCGCCGCAUUAGCUAGUUGGUAAGGUAACGGCUUACCAAGGCAACGAUGCGUAGCCGACCUGAGAGGGUGAUCGGCCACACUGGAACUGAGACACGGUCCAGACUCCUACGGGAGGCAGCAGUAGGGAAUCUUCCGCAAGGGGCGAAAGCCUGACGGAGCAACGCCGCGUGAGUGACAAAGGGCUUCGGAUCGUAAAACUCUGUUAUUAGGGAAGAACAAAUGUGUAAGUAACUAUGCACGUCUUGACGGUACCUAAUCAGAAAGCCACGGCUAACUACGUG